UCAUACAUCCGCCUCCUCUCUCUCUCACUUCUCUGCGCAUCCAUCUUCUUUCUCUCUUGAGACUUCCACUCUCUUCUAUGCUCUUUCUAUCUCUCAGUUAAAACUCAUCUCAAUAUCUCAUUCCUCACUCUCUACGUCUCUCACCUUCUUCUUCGCUAAGAGCCGUAGAUUUGGGGAUAUGAGGUUGUUUCUCCGGCGCUAAGAACCGUAGAUUUGGGGAGAUGAGGUUGUUUCUCCGAUGCUAAGAGCCGUAGAUCUGGGGAGAUAGGGUUAGACUCCUCCACUUCUCUGGUGACCAGCGGUCCGGUUCUCUCCUUCGAGGCAAAGGCCAAAGACUUUAACACUCAAACAGAUCUGGGGACUUAGGAAGAUCUCCAUUGAGGACUUCUCCAGUGACCAUCCCUUGCCAUGAAAAAGAUAAUUAAAAUUUUAUGACUUAGGAAGAUCUCAAGUCUUGCCUCCGGUGAGUCCCCUUUGACCUCUGGCUCGCUACAGAUCCAGGAGAUCUCCAUUGAGGCUUCGAGUUCCUAGACAUCUCUAGGAGAAAAAAGGGUUCCAAUCAACAAGUUGCUACUCUUCUUGAGACUAUUGAGAUGUCCAAUUGUCCAUAGACCAUAGUCCAGACUUCAUUAAUUCCAGAUCAUCUUACAAAGGUAAGGGUCCUCUAUGGCUCUAUCCAUGCUCCAGUAUAAGCUUUAUGAAUUUAUGAACAUACUGUUGAUUGUUUGUCUUAAUUCUUGAAUUUAUGACUUUUGAAUUUAUUGACUUUUAUGAGUUUAUAUUAUAAUAUGCCUCCAGAGUUUUUUAGUUUGCAUGCUUUUAGAUUUUUUUAUUAUGUAAUUUUCAUGCAUCUCCUGGUUUUUUAGAAUCGCCUAACCAACUAUUUUUGUAUCCUAUUGUUCAUUACUUGGCUCUCUAUUUGUUUUUACUCUUUGUUGCAGAAAUUACCUUUGACAUGGUGGUCAUGUUCUCUAUGUUUUACUUACACACAUAUAUAACCCAAUGAGAUACACUAGUUUUUAAAUUCAGAUUGUAUUUGUAUUGAGUGUUGAUUUACAUAAACAUGUAUAUCUUAAAAACUGUUGUGUUAUUUGCAAAUGGUGUGUCUCCUUAGCAUCUAAAGGUAUUGCUUCCCUUGAAGCAAAAAAAAGUUUCAGGCCCCCUCGAAACACCCCUAUUGAUCCAAAUCCAGAGGACGGAUCACCUAGUUCAUUGCUAGACUGUAAUGCAGGAGCAAAUUCAUGUGAAUUAGGGAGCUCACCAGAGUCACUGCCCGUGCCUCUGAAUUCAUCUGUUCUUCUGGAGGAAAACCAUGUAAAUAAAUUGAUGGAUGAUUCUACCACUGCAAAAAGUUCUUGCUUUUUGGAAACUAGUAUUGGAAUUCACUAGAAAAAAGACUUGACAGAUGGCCAAGGAAUGCAAUCUGCUCCAUUUCAACAUUCAAUCUGCAAGCCUUGUGUUGUGUUGCAUAAGGAGCAGGCUUCGGGUUUUUGUUUACUAUAUCAAUAAUGAAGUAACUUCCAUGCAUUAUAUUUAAACUUUAACUUGUGCUUUUAAUUUGUAUCAAGUAUCAUAGCAUAAUUAGCAUUAUUGAAAUUCAUAUAUGAAAUUUCACAAUUAACUAUUUUUAUUGUUGUUUCUUGUAGGGGUUCAUACAAACGAGUAGGAGAUCACUAUCAAUUUUGCUUAGAGGAGCAAACUAAAUGCAAUACAUGACACUUAGCUUUUUCCCUUAAUUUUAUUUCGUUAUGCUUUGUUUAGUUUUUUUUUUCUUUUUUGGUGAUUGUAUAAUUGUAAUUAACUAGAUAAGGUAUUUUUCCUUAUGUUUUGUCAUGUAAAAUAUUGUAUUUUUAUUGUUUUGCAUAUUUUAUUUUGUUUA